GUGUGACAUCGAAGCUAAUCGGUCGCCUGCGAUCUCGUGGUUUCUUAUUGUUCUACAGCACAUCAUUCCAUUUAUAAAAUGAGACUUGUUAACACUAGUGCAUGAAUUUCAGUGCUUCUUUAACAAGUGAGAAACCAAGUUGAAGUGUCAAUUUAACUCCGUUUGUUGAACGACAUCGCGUGCCAGCUCGAAAAUGGCCUUGGUGACCGCUAGAAAACCCGAUUUCUUGAACGUUAUUUGCUGGUUGACAAUGUCACUGAAGAAUUUCUUUUCACCUUGAGACUUUCGUGGUGAAUGUGAUUGAAGAAUUGUACUGUAAAAGAAGUGUUAAAUUUACGUCGUCAACCACGUGGCGUUCGGGAGAGAGAUCGGUCGACUGGACAACGAGACGUCCCUGAUGUGCUGUGGCUAAAAGUAGGGUGAAGGUAGAAGAAUGUAGGCGCCGUAUAUAUGUAUCUAAUAAAAUAUAACGAAAGGAGCUAAGAAAAAAUAAUAAAAAAAGAAGAAGAAGAAGCCAACAGCUAUAUAAUAUAGCUCCCUUUUUCUUUCUCUCUUGUUUUUUCCUCUUUUUUUAAAUUUCUUUUUUUAUUUUGAACGUGUGUGUGUGUCUGUUUGUGUUCAUGUUCAAUGGCUGGCGGCGUUUGGGGGCCGGCGGGAGAGUGCAGCCAUCCCAAGGUAAAAAAAAAAGAGAAAAAGGGGGCAGCCCCAUGCAGACAUGCACGUAUAGUGAGCGUCGUGUCAUCGUGACCGCCCCACAUCCGGCGCGUACCGAAGAAUUUUUUUCUUUUUAUUUUUUAGACAAAAGAAAAACACACACAAGGCCCUUUCUGUUCUUAUAUUCUACAUAUACACCUGUACAACCUGUGCCUCUCUUGGCUUUGCUCCCCCCCCCCCCCCACAUCAGAUGGCCUUUGGCGGAGUGUGGAAAUGUUCCAAGAAAAACUAAAUUCAAGUGUAAAAUGCCAUUAUUAUUAUAUUUUUUUAAAGUUGAUGUAACUUUUUGGUUGAAAAAUGUUUUUCUCUCCGACAAAAUCGAAUUGUUUGAAAUUAUUGGUGCGAUAGUAGGUCUGGCCCAGAAAAAGAAAAGUUAGUAAUCAUAGGACUUGUGUAGCUAACCGAGUUGACCAAGUGUGGCGCCUCUCUACACAUCUCGGCGAGCCUAAAUUAGCAGCUACACACAUAGUGUACAACCGCGCCUACACGAAUGUGUGUGUAUGUCUGCGCUAGAUUUUGAUAAUCAUUUUAAUAGCAGAGAUCGCCCCUAUACAUAGUCUCCCUAGCAAUUGUAUACUAGUACCUUUUUUCCUUUUUCAAAAUAAAAGUUGAUGAUUGUGGGGGGGUUGAAGAAGCGAUUCGGUUCAU